AGAUAAUAAUUAUGUUUAAGAGACAGAGUUAGACCAUUUAAUGGCAUUAAGCGAUAUGGGCCAUUUCCUUCAUAGGCCCAUUGUUAGAUAAGAUUUCCAAUUACGAUUAGAUAUUGCGUGUUACAAACGUUCCUUUUGACUUUUGAGUCAUCAUCACCAUGCCGAGAAGAAUCAUUUUCUCUCACCUCGGAUUCCUAGCCGCCGAUGUCAUCGAUGUUUCAGUUCGUUAAUCGAUAGUCUCCCACCACCAUCGGCUUCUAUCUAGCCACCAUCACCAGACCCGUCGGCUUCUAUCUUUCCACGAUUACCAGUCCCUAAUCGAUCAACCAUUUGAGCUUCUUCAUUCAUUAUACUUGUACACUUCAGCUCCAUAUCAGGAUCUUGGUUUGGAUGCUUGGGUUCGCUAACUUGUUUUCAAGAGCAUAAGGUCGUUAAGGCAACCGACGUGAUUGGAUAAGGGAAUAUAUAUUCGACAGUCAAUCUAGCAAAACAGGAUCCAAAUAUGUUUAAACCGGGUUGGUUAGGAUCCGCGUCCCAUAUCCAAUAUAAUGACUUCGUUGCCCUUAAAUUUCUUUUUUUUCUCUUCUUCCUUUUUUUCUUGCGUAGGGGCAAUAUGUGGAAUUUUUGGAAAAAGUUUUUUUUUUCUCUUCUUUUGUACUUCCGAUUUAAUAGUAUAGAUAUAGAAACAGUUCAUUUCA